rnacentral:rRNA from 1 species
GUUCAAAGACUGCAGGUAUCUCGGCCUCGCACGAUGAAGAACGUAGCGAUCGCUGGAGCGACCUGCCAUCGAGUCUUUGAACGCAAGUUGCGCCCGAAGCCGUUAGGCCCGAGGGCACGUCUGCCUGGGCGUCA